AUGUUAAAGUCACCCAUCUUGAUCCUUCCCUGUAGGAAGAAUGUUUCUUGAACCUAGAGGCUCCAAUAUCUCGAGUAUGUGGCUAUGANACCCCAUUUCCUCACAUCUUUGAGCCCUUUUAUAUCCCAGACAAGUGGAAGUGCUACGAUGCCCUUCGNAAGAUGAUCAACUAUUGACGACAGAGAAAACCAGGAAGAUCAUGACUAGAUAUGGAAAUAUUUUUCUGAAACCUUUUUAUAUUUCCUUAUACUUCUUUCUUCUUACAUAUAGUUUUAUGCAACGAACUGUCAUGGAUAUUGGCUGAUCAGCUGCAAAUUACUUAUCAUGUUANUAUAAAUGGAUUGAGUGCACAGGAGGAAUGCUUUAAGGAGCGCGUGGGUGGUGACCUUAAGACUAUUUCAUGACUAUAAAUAUCGGGUGGUGUUGUAUUCAAUAAAGCCAAAUUACAUCGCCUCA